CAUCUGCAGCCAGGCGGGCAUUGUCAAUCUGAAGGACAAUCUUGGAGUUUUCAAUGGUGGCACCAAGAAUCUGGAAGGGAAGAGGCAGGCAGUUGGCAUGAGUUU
rnacentral:miRNA from 1 species